GACGAACCGUGCUAACGUUAUUCGGAAUUACUGGGCUUAAAGCGCGUGUAGGCGGGCAGGCACGUCGGUCGCUGAAAGCCCCCGGCUCAACCGGGGAACGGGCGCCGAUACGGCCGGCCUGGAGGGGGGUAGGGGGAGCCGGAACUUCCGGUGGAGCGGUGAAAUGCGUUGAGAUCGGAAGGAACGCCCGUGGCGAAAGCGGGCUCCUGGACCUCACCUGACGCUGAGACGCGAAAGCUAGGGGAGCGAACGGG
rnacentral:rRNA from 1 species